UUCAAUAAGUGUCAUAUCAGAGAGCACACAAUGUUCCAAUUUGUCACUUUUUGCAGCUCAGUACCCUGUCUAGCCUGCCAGAAGUUUGAGAGAGUGAAGACUGUGGCACCGGAGUUGAAGCCCAUCAAAGUUGUUUCAUCAUGGCACAUGAUCAGGCGUGGACAACAUCGGACCCUUCAUGGAAUCCAGAAAUGGCAAAAGCUGGUGUCUGCCUGCGACCGAUCACUUUACCAAGUGGGUGGAGGGCGAGGAAAUACCCAUUAAGGAUGAGACGGGCGAGGCUACCUCCAAGGCGAUGGUAGACAUCUUCAACACCCACGGUUCUCCUGAGCUCAUCUUGAGUGACUGAGGUCAUGAACGCUGGAACAAGGUCUGAUGAAUGGACCAACCAGACCCUCAAGACUGCCAUGGGCAAGUCCCUUGAUUAAUACCAGGAAGGUUGGGAGAACUACCUCAUGGUAAUUCUCUUUUCACACAACAGCAGGAUCCAGGCCGAGUACGAACGGGAGCCGCAGCUAUUGACUUAGAUCUCUGAAACCCCACCGGUAGUUGUGGAACCAGAUCAGAACGCCUUCAAGGACCACCUUCAGGCACGGACUGAGAAGGAUGUGGAGGUUUUUGACCAGGUGAGACUGAACAUGGACAAGGUGCAGGAGAAACAGAAGGAGCGCUACCGGAGCAGAAUAAAGAAGGGGACCAAGUGCUUUGACAUCCGGGGGAAUUACUUGGUUUGGAAGAAGGACGAAAGGAAGGCGAGACCUGGGAAACCUCGCUGCUCUUUCGCUCCUAGCUGGGGUCACCAUCUGUUAAAGUUACCUCGGUGGAAGCCAACAAUCUUCUGCAGUUGGAGCAGUUGGACAGUCAACCACUGAAAGCCCUGACGCCCUACACUUCAGUGAAGCCCAAUAGACAAAGACCAUCGACUGUCCUAGCCCCCCAGGAGGUAUCCCAUCCACCAGAACCAGUGAGUUCGGAACAGUCUGAUUCUCUGUGCUCUGAGUCAGAGGGGGACCAGCUUGAGGGGUUCUGCCCAACACCCAGACGUGGAUCCACCUGAUGUCCUCCAUUACCAACUACCCUCCAACAUUUCAUUACAUAAUCUACAGCUACUGUUGUUGUCAUGUUGUCAAUAUCUGCUAAGAAAGUUUUCUUUCUCUAGCAUACUGGGCACAUAAUAUGUGAGAUACACAGAUUAACUAAAAACACUAGCACUGCAAACACUCAGAACAAGGAGAGCAGUUGUGCCUGGACAUUCCAGUCUCCCUCUUCAAGUCCCCCUUCUGAGACUGGCCGCCUGUUGACAGGCAGAACCUCCCACCCACACAUCAACCAUCUCCUCUAUAUUCCACACACCAGAAUUCAGUAUUUUAGUCUAUGAGUGCACAAAAAAAAUCUGUGAAAAUAAAUUUAUGACACAACUGUACAAAAACUAUCAACGUUUAUGUAUUCAAAUCUGAGAUAUUGCCAAGUUGAUUUUCACAUCUGUUUCACAAGGUGUUGAUUACUGUAAGUUGUAAGGUAUCCUUUGAUGUUAUUGAUUUGUUCCACAUUAUUCAUUGUUGUAUCCU